CACCAAGGCUCCGGCCCCGGCGCCCAAGGCCAAGGCCUCCCCGCCCCCGGCCUCCCCUGCCCCCGUCGAGGCUCCCGUAGCCUCACCACCUUCCCCCGCCGCGGAGGCACCCGCCACCAUCCCCACCAAGCCCGACGCCCCCGCGCCGGCGCCGGCCAAGAAGAAGAAGCCCUCCCCGCCCGCCAAGAAGAAGAAGAAGAGCUCCAAGGCCCCCGCCCCGGCUCCCGUCGCCGAGUCCCCCAAGCACUCCAAGUCCAAGGCUAAGGCCCCCGCCGCCUCGUCCGCCGCCGACGCCCCCGGCCCCGCCGGCGACGGAGUCGCCGCCGACACCACGGGAGCGGCAGGGAGGACCAGCGUGCAGACGAUCGCGUCGGCGUGCGCCGUGGCCGCGCUCGGCCUCGUCGCCGUCCUCGCCUAGAGAACGCGAGGCGCCGGAGCCCAGCACGACGGCGGCAAGAUGCAGCAGCCGGCCGGCGUCGCGCCGUCGCCGUCGCCGUCGCCGCCGCUUUUUUGCGCUGUGUCUUCCUCGUCGAUUCUUUUGCGUGGCUCCACCACCACUCCUCAUCAGCCAGCCACGUUUGAUGAUUGAACGAACGAUCUUGCCCUGAUGCCUCGGAUUCUUUUGUUUCUUGUUACUCCCUUCUCUCUUCUGCUGCUACUACCACGAUAUGACUCUGCCCUUGUACUGUACCACUGAGAUUUAUUUUUAAUUUAUGUUGCUGUCAUCAUGGUUAUCAUCA